rnacentral:rRNA from 1 species
UACAGAGGGGGCAAGCGUUGUUCGGAAUUACUGGGCGUAAAGGGCGCGUAGGCGGCCUGUUAAGUCGAACGUGAAAUCCCCGGGCUCAACCCGGGAACUGCGUCCGAUACUGGCAGGCUUGAAUCCGGGAGAGGGAUGCGGAAUUCCAGGUGUAGCGGUGAAAUGCGUAGAUAUCAGGAGGAACACCAAUGGCGAAGGCAGCUCACUGGGACGGUAUUGACGCUGAGACGCGAAAGCGUGGGGAGCAAACAGG